AGAGUUUGAUCAUGGCUCAGAUUGAACGCUGGCGGCAGGCCUAACACAUGCAAGUCGAACGGUAACAGGAGGCAGCUUGCUGCUUUGCUGACGAGUGGCGGACGGGUGAGUAAUGUCUGGGAAACUGCCUGAUGGAGGGGGAUAACUACUGGAAACGGUAGCUAAUACCGCAUAACGUCGCAAGACCAAAGAGGGGGACCUUCGGGCCUCUUGCCAUCGGAUGUGCCCAGAUGGGAUUAGCUAGUAGGUGGGGUAACGGCUCACCUAGGCAACGAUCCCUAGCUGGUCUGAGAGGAUGACCAGCCACACUGGAACUGAGACACGGUCCAGACUCCUACGGGAGGCAGCAGUGGGGAAUAUUGCACAAUGGGCGCAAGCCUGAUGCAGCCAUGCCGCGUGUAUGAAGAAGGCCUUCGGGUUGUAAAGUACUUUCAGCGAGGAGGAAGGCGAUAAGGUUAAUAACCUUGUCGAUUGACGUUACCCGCAGAAGAAGCACCGGCUAACUCCGUGCCAGCAGCCGCGGUAAUACGGAGGGUGCAAGCGUUAAUCGGAAUUACUGGGCGUAAAGCGCACGCAGGUGGUCUGUCAAGUCGGAUGUGAAAUCCCCGGGCUCAACCUGGGAACUGCAUUCGAAACUGGCAGGCUAGAGUCUUGUAGAGGGGGGUAGAAUUCCAGGUGUAGCGGUGAAAUGCGUAGAGAUCUGGAGGAAUACCGGUGGCGAAGGCGGCCCCCUGGACAAAGACUGACGCUCAGGUGCGAAAGCGUGGGGAGCAAACAGGAUU
rnacentral:rRNA from 1 species